rnacentral:rRNA from 1 species
AACGUAGGACGCAAGCGUUAUCCGGAGUUACUGGGCGUAAAGGGCGGGCAGGCGGCUUGUCAAGUGGGAUGUCAAAGCGCACAGCUUAACUGAGCGAGGCCAUUCCAAACUGAUGAGCUGGAGGGCAGUAGAGGUAGGCGGAAUUCCGGGUGGAGUGGUGAAAUGCGUAGAGAUCGGGAGGAACACCCGUGGCGAAGGCGGCCACCUGGGCCGACCCUGACGCUGAGGCGCGAAGGCGUGGGGAGCGAACGGG